rnacentral:rRNA from 1 species
AUUGAACGCUGGCGGCAGGCCUAACACAUGCAAGUCGAACGAGUGGCGGACGGGUGAGUAAUGUCUGGGAAACUGCCCGAUGGAGGGGGAUAACUACUGGAAACAGUAGCUAAUACCGCAUACCAUCGGAUGUGCCCAAAUGGGAUUAGCUAGUAGGGGGGGUAACCGCUCACCUAGGCGACGAUCACUAGCUGGUCUGAGAGGAUGACAAGCCAAAAUGGACAUGGUACACGGUACAGACUCCUACGGGAGGCAGCAGUGGGGAAUAUUGGACAAUGGGCGCAAGCCUGAUGCAGCCAUGCCGCGUGUAUGAAGAAGGCCUUCGGGUUGUAAAGUACUUUCAGCGAGGAGGCGUUACUCGCAGAAGAAGCACCGGCUAACUCCGUGCCAGCCGCCGCGGUAAUAC